rnacentral:tRNA from 1 species
GCCUAAAUAGCUCAGUUGGUAGAGCAGCGCAUUCGUAACGCGCAGGCCGUCGGUUCGAUCCCGGCUUUAGGCA